CGGAUAGUAGUUCAGUUGGGAGUAACGCUUGAUUCAUUCAAGUAGUCACAGGUUCGAUUCCUGUCUAUCCGA
rnacentral:tRNA from 1 species